GAAAUGCGAUAAGUAAUGUGAAUUGCAGAAUUCAGUGAAUCAUCGAAUCUUUGAACGCACAUUGCGCCCGCCAGUAUUCUGGCGGGCAUGCCUGUCCGAGCGUCAUUUCAACCAUCAAGCCCCCGGGCUUGUGUUGGGGACCUGCGGCUGCCCGCAGGCCCUGAAAACCAGUGGCGGGCUCGCUUUCACACCGAGCGUAGUAGCAAUCACCUCGCUCAGGGCGUGCUGCGGGUUCCGGCCGUUAAACAGCCUUACAAAACCCAAGGUUGACCUCGGAUCAGGUAGGAAGACCCGCUGAACUUAAGC
rnacentral:misc_RNA from 1 species